GAUUAGAUACCAGCAUUUUCUUAUCCGGUGACAAGAUGGCGUGCUGGUACUCUGUCAUUGCUGAAUCUGGGGGACACAUGGGACUGUUACAUAUGGUUCUGAAUGUUAUCUCUCUGACUUGGCCGUCAUACUCAUCAGCAGAAUGCCAUGGACCUAUGUUGAGAUUAGAAUCUUUGCGUGCUGUACGGUACUCGGUAGUGAAAUUUGAACCAUCAGACAAUAGUAUGUCAAAAAAUUGUUGAGGUGUACAUGGGAAGGUGUCAUUG
rnacentral:misc_RNA from 1 species